AUAAUUAUUUAUUAUUGUUUUAUAAUAAUAAUUAAUUAAAUUAUUACUUAAAUAGGUUAACUCAUUUAACAACUCAACCCAUCAAAUUAAAUGAGUUAUGGGUUGGGUUGGGUUGGGUUACCCAUUUUAACACUCCUAGAUUUAUCUUAACGUAAUAAAUUUCAAUUUU
rnacentral:sRNA from 1 species